GUCUCUGUGGCGCAAUUGGUUAACGCGUUUGGCAGUUAACCGGAAGGUUGGUGGUUCAAGCCCACCCAGGGACG
rnacentral:tRNA from 1 species